UACGGGGGGAGCAAGCGUUGUUCGGAUUUACUGGGCGUAAAGGGCGCGUAGGCGGCCACCGCAAGUCAAUUGUGAAAUCUCCGGGCUUAACCCGGAGCGGUCAAGUGAUACUGUCGUGCUAGAGUGCGGAAGGGGCUACUGGAAUUCCCGGUGUAGCAGUGAAAUGCGUAGAGAUCGGGAGGAACAUCUGUGGCGAAGGCGACUACCUGGACCAGCACUGACACUGAGGCACGAAAGCGUGGGAGCAACAGG
rnacentral:rRNA from 1 species